rfam:Schistosoma haematobium scaffold620_19, whole genome shotgun sequence.
AUCAAUUCUCGACUCUUUGAGUUAGGAUCAUGUGUAGUAUAUGUUCUUUGCAAUGUAAUUUCUACAACUGUCUCUAAACUUAGACCAAGGAAAUUACCUGUCAAAACGGGCCCUCAAAUGUCCUGGUGUGGUUGAGAGUGAGGAGAGUCACCUCUCCCUCUCAA